rnacentral:rRNA from 1 species
UGGGGAAUUUUGGGCAAUGGGCGAAAGCCUGACCCAGCAACGCCGCGUGAAGGAUGAAGUAUUUCGGUAUGUAAACUUCGAAAGAAUAGGAAGAAUAAAUGACGGUACUAUUUAUAAGGUCCGGCUAACUACGUGCCAGCAGCCGCGGUAAUACGUAGGGACCAAGCGUUGUUCGGAUUUACUGGGCGUAAAGGGCGCGUAGGCGGCAAUUCAAGUCAUCUGUGAAAUCUCCGGGCUUAACUCGGAACGGUCAGAUGAUACUGCUUUGCUAGAGUGCAGAAGGGGCAAUCGGAAUUCUUGGUGUAGCGGUGAAAUGCGUAGAUAUCAAGAGGAACACCUGAGGUGAAGACGGGUUGCUGGGCUGACACUGACGCUGAGGCGCGAAAGCCAGGGGAGCAAACGGGAUUAGAUACCCAUGUAGUCCCUGAGCGGGCUGGCAAGGCGCAU